UACAGAGGGUGCGAGCGUUAAUCGGAAUUACUGGGCGUAAAGGGUGUGUAGGUGGUUGUAUAAGUUAGAUGUGAAAGCCCCGGGCUCAACCUGGGAACUGCGUUUAAGACUGUAUAACUAGAGUACUGUAGAGGAUAGUGGAAUUUCCAGUGUAGCGGUGAAAUGCGUAGAUAUUGGAAGGAACACCAGUGGCGAAGGCGACUAUCUGGACAGAUACUGACACUGAGACACGAAAGCAUGGGGAGCAAACAGG
rnacentral:rRNA from 1 species